rnacentral:rRNA from 1 species
GACGAACGCUGGCGGCGUGCUUAACACAUGCAAGUCGAACGGAAAGGCCCUGCUUUUGUGGGGUGCUCGAGUGGCGAACGGGUGAGUAACACGUGAGUAACCUGCCCUUGACUUUGGGAUAACUUCAGGAAACUGGGGCUAAUACCGGAUAGGAGCUCCUGCUGCAUGGUGGGGGUUGGAAAGGUUCGGCGGUUGGGGAUGGACUCGCGGCUUAUCAGCUUGUUGGUGGGGUAGUGGCUUACCAAGGCUUUGACGGGUAGCCGGCCUGAGAGGGUGACCGGCCACAUUGGGACUGAGAUACGGCCCAGACGCCUACGGGAGGCAGCAGUGGGGAAUAUUGCACAAUGGGCGGAAGCCUGAGGCAGCAACGCCGCGUGCGGGAUGACGGCCUUCGGGUUGUAAACCGCUUUCGCCUGUGACGAAGCGUGAGUGACGGUAAUGGGUAAAGAAGCACCGGCUAACUACGUG